CAGUAGCCACGGUAAUACGAAGGGGGCUAGCGUUGCUCGGAAUUACUGGGCGUAAAGGGAGCGUAGGCGGAUCGUUAAGUUGGGGGUGAAAGCCCGGGGCUCAACCUCGGAAUUGCCUUCAAUACUGGCGAUCUUGAGUAUGGAAGAGGUAUGUGGAACUCCGAGUGUAGAGGUGAAAUUCGUAGAUAUUCGGAAGAACACCAGUGGCGAAGGCGACAUACUGGUCCAUUACUGACGCUGAGGCUCGAAAGCGUGGGGAGCAAACAGGAUUAGAUACCCCGGUAGUCCCUGUCUCUUAUAC
rnacentral:rRNA from 1 species